rnacentral:rRNA from 1 species
UACAGAGGGUGCAAGCGUUUGUUCGGAAUUAUUGGGCGUAAAGGGCGCGUAGGCGGGCUGGUAAGUCCGGGGUGAAAUCCUGCAGCUCAACUGCAGAAGUGCCUUGGAUACUGCCAGUCUCGAGGGAGGUAGGGGCAUGUGGAACUUCCGGUGGAGCGGUGAAAUGCGUAGAUAUCGGAAGGAACGCCGGUGGCGAAAGCGACGUGCUGGACCUC